AUUCUACUCCCACUGUUCCACAAUACAUGCCUUCUAUUUGUCAAAAUAUAGAUGUAUCUAGACAUGUUUUAGUAUAUAGGUACAUCCAUUUUUGGACAAAUGGAAGUCAAGUAUUUUGGAACGGAGGGAGUACACA
rfam:Triticum aestivum genome assembly, contig: Triticum_aestivum_CS42_TGACv1_scaffold_223915_3B